rnacentral:rRNA from 1 species
UGCGUAGGUGGUCGGGUAAGUCUGAUGUGAAACCUCCGAGCCUAACUCGGAAACUGCAUCGGAUACUAUUCGGCUUGAGGGUUGGGAGGGGGGGACGUGGAAUACUUGGUGUAGCAGUGAAAUGCGUAGAUAUCAAGUGGAACACCAGUGGCGAAGGCGAGUCCCUGGACAACUCCUGACACUGAGGCACGAAAGCUAGGGGAAGGCAAACA